UACGUAGGGCGCAAGCGUUGUCCGGAAUUAUUGGGCGUAAAGAGCGUGUAGGCGGCCAGAAAAAAUCCGCUGUGAAAACUCGAGGCUCAACCUCGAGAUGUCGGCGGAAACCGUCUGGCUAGAGUCCGGAAGAGGAGAGUGGAAUUCCCUGGUGUAGCGGUGAAAUGCGCAGAUAUCAGGAAGAACACCUAUGGCGAAGGCAGCUCUCUGGGACGGUACUGACGCUGAGACGCGAAAGCGUGGGGAGCGAACAGG
rnacentral:rRNA from 1 species